rnacentral:misc_RNA from 1 species
AAAGUCGUAACAAGGUCUCCGUUGGUGAACCAGCGGAGGGAUCAUUACAGAGUUGCAAAACUCCCUAAACCAUUGUGAACGUUACCUACACCGUUGCUUCGGCGGGCGGCCCCGGGGUUUACCCCCCGGGCGCCCCUGGGCCCCACCGCGGGCGCCCGCCGGAGGUCACCAAACUCUUGAAUCAUGGCCUCUCUGAGUGAUUUUAUAAAUAAGUCAAAACUUUCAACAACGGAUCUCUUGGCUCUC